GUAACAAGGUUUCNGUAGGUGAACCUGCGGAAGGAUCAUUGUCGUGACCCUGACCAAAACAGACCGCGCACGAGUUAUCUAGCCCGCUGGGCGGCGGCAUCGUCCGUCGCUUGGCAAAAGUCCUCGACAACCUCAUCUUUUCGGAGUUGGGGCUCGGGGUAAAAGAACCCACGGCGCCGAAGGCGUCAAGGAACACUGUGCCUAACGAGGGGAUGUGGCUGGCUUGCUAGCCGCACCCCGAGUUGCAAUUCUAUAUAAUCCACACGACUCUCGGCAACGGAUAUCUCGGCUCUCGCAUCGAUGAAGAACGUAGCGAAAUGCGAUACCUGGUGUGAAUUGCAGAAUCCCGCGAACCAUCGAGUCUUUGAACGCAAGUUGCGCCCGAGGCCUCUUGGCCGAGGGCACGCCUGCCUGGGCGUCACGCCAAACACGCUCCCACCCNACUAACUUGGGGUGGGACGCGGCAUGUGGCUCCUCGUCCCGCAAGGGGCGGUGGGCCAAAGAUCCGGCUGCCGGCCUAUCGUGCCGGACACAGCGCGUGGUAGGCGACCUCGCUUUACUAAACGCAGUGCCUCCGGCGCGUAGCCGACGCGAUGGCCCCAAUGGACCCUUUUAACGGAGUGCAUGACGCUUCGACCGCNACCCCAGGUCAGGCGGGACUACCCGCUGAGUUUAANCAUAUC
rnacentral:rRNA from 1 species